UGGCGGGAGCACUCCGACUAAAUAAUUGCUGUAAUACAUUUUCCUUUGAGAAAUCUGUCACUGACCGAGUGAAAUGGCAGACAGCGAUGAUGAAUAUGACCGUCGUCGUAGAGACAAGUUCCGUCGUGAGAGGAGCGAUUAUGACCGGUCGAGAGAGAGGGAGGACAGACGGAGGGAUGACUGGAAUGACCGACGCCCUUCGGCCAGGGAGUGGGACAGGGGACGUGAGCGGCGUAGCCGCGGGGAAUACCGAGAGUAUGAGAGAGGUCGCCGAGAGAGAUUCUCACCCCCCAGACACGACAUCAGCCCCCAGCAGAAACGCAUGAGGAGAGACUGGGAUGAUCAUGGAGGAGACCCCUACCAUGGUGGGUAUGAUUUGGGUUAUGGUGGAGGUGGGGGUCCCAGCUAUGCUCCCCCACAACCCUGGGGCCAUCCUGACAUGCACCUAAUGCAGCCACACCACGGCCUCCCCAUACAAGCCCGGUUGGGUAAUAUCCAUGACAUGGACCUUGGUCCUCCACCUCCAGUGAUGAAGACCUUUAAAGAGUUCUUGUUGUCUCUGGAUGACUCUGUUGAUGAGACCGAGGCGGUCAAACGUUACAAUGAGUACAAAAUCGACUUCAGGCGUCAACAGAUGCAGGACUUCUUCCUUGCACACAAGGAUGAGGAGUGGUUCCGCUCUAAGUACCACCCUGAUGAGGCUGGGAGGCGUAAGGCUGAGGCCCAUGCUGCACUGCAGAACCGACUCAGUGUGUUUGUCUAUCUGAUGGAGAACGGCUGGUUCGACUCAGUCUGCCUCGACAUUGAACGUGCACCACAAAUUAUCAAGAUCCUGGAUGCAGCGGUAAUAAAGAUGGAGGGUGGAGCUGAAAAUGACCUACGCAUUCUGGAGCAGCCAAAUGAGGAAGAGGAGGAGAGAGAGAGAGUAGGAUCUGAAGCGCCCAAGCGGGAUGAAGUCCGCUCAAUGGAUACAGACCGCAAACCAUCUGCUGAGAGCCAGGACAAAGAGGGAGAGGGUGGAGUGUCUGACAAGGAUGUGAGUGCUUCAGCAGGAGUGGGUCUGGGAGAGGAGAAAUCAGAGAAAGAUCCAUCCAUCCAGGAUACCCCCGAAACCAAAAAGCUGAGUAAGAAGAGGAAGAGGAAGCGGAGUGGAGACAGUGAGGACGAGGCCAGUGUGUCCGAGAGUGACUCUGACUCCGACUCCGACUCACACUGUUCAGAAAAACCGCUGGAUAGAGAAGGAGAAGACGGGGAGGACAAGGAGGAGGAGGAAGAGGAGGAAGGAGAAGAUGUGAAAGAACGCAAGGAAGAGAAACAGAAAGAGAGAGAGAAAGAGAAGGAAGAGAAGAAAGCGAAGGAUGACCAGCCACCCCGGCCACGCCCACUCCACAAGACCUGUUCGCUCUUCAUGAGGAGCAUCGCCCCCACAAUCUCUAAAGCUGAGAUUGUAGCCCUCUGCAGAAGGUAUCCAGGCUUCAUGCGUGUGUGUUUGUCUGAACCUCAGCCCGAACGCAGGUUUUUCAGGCGUUGCUGGGUGACCUUUGACCGCAGUGUCAACAUUAAAGAGAUCUGCUGGAACCUACAAAACAUUCGACUGCGUGACUGUGAGCUGGCUCCAGGCGUGAACCGGGAUUUGGCACGACGUGUCCGGAAUGUUAAUGGAAUCACGCAGCACAAACAAGUGCUCCGCAAUGAUAUUAAACUGGCUGCCAAACUGAUCCAUGCUCUCGACGAGAGAGAGAGACUCUGGACGCAAACAAACAGGGACAGCCAGGAGCUGCCUGCUCAGAACCCCAUCCUAAAGAACAUUACUGAUUACCUCAUCGAGGAAGUGAGUGCGGAGGAGGAGGAGCUUCUGGGUGGAGUAGGCGGGAUUGAGGCAGAGGAUGGAUCAAAGGAGGGAAAUCCUGCUGAGAUCACUGUGGAGAGGGAUGACAAACUUGUUAAGGUGUUGGAUCGUUUGUUGUUUUACCUGCGAGUCGUACAUUCGAUUGAUUAUUACAACAGCUGUGAGUACCCCAGUGAAGAUGAGAUGCCAAACCGCUGUGGUAUCAUUCAUGUCCGAGGCCCCAUACCACCCAACCGGAUCACACACGGAGAGGUGGCCGAGUGGCAGAAGACCUUUGAGGAGAAGCUGUCCCCCCUGUUCAGUGUGAAGGAGACUCUUAGUGAAGAGGAGGCUUUGAAGAUGGGUCGGAAGGAUCCGGAGCAGGAAGUGGAGAAGUUUGUCUCUGCCAACACACAGGAGCUGGGAAAGGACAAGUGGCUCUGCCCACUCAGUGGCAAGAAGUUCAAGGGUCCUGAGUUUGUGCGUAAACACAUUCUAAAUAAACAUGGAGACAAGAUAGAAGAAGUUAAAAAGGAAGUGGUUUUUUUUAACAACUUCUUGAUGGAUGCCAAAAGACCCGCCCUCCCUGAAGUGAAGGCCCCACCCCCUCCUGGCCCAGGACAGGGAGUUUUAUCUCCAGGACAUCCUUUCCCCCCUCAGGCUCCCCAGGCUCUGAUGGGCUUUGGCCAGCCCCGGCCUCCGGUCAUGGGUUAUGGAGGUAGGGGUAUGUGAGUGGCUUUGGCCAGCCCCGGCCUCCGGUCAUGGGUUAUGGAGGUAGGGGUAUGUGAGUGGCUUUGGCCAGCCCCGGCCUCCGGUCAUGGGUUAUGGAGGUAGGGGUAUGUGAGUGGCUUUGGCCAGCCCCGGCCUCCGGUCAUGGGUUAUGGAGGUAGGGGUAUGUGAGUGGCUUUGGCCAGCCCCGGCCUCCGGUCAUGGGUUAUGGAGGUAGGGGUAUGUGAGUGGCUUUGGCCAGCCCCGGCCUCCGGUCAUGGGUUAUGGAGGUAGGGGUAUGUGAGUGGCUUUGGCCAGCCCCGGCCUCCGGUCAUGGGUUAUGGAGGUAGGGGUAUGUGAGUGGCUUUGGCCAGCCCCGGCCUCCGGUCAUGGGUUAUGGAGGUAGGGGUAUGUGAGUGGCUUUGGCCAGCCCCGGCCUCCGGUCAUGGGUUAUGGAGGUAGGGGUAUGUGAGUGGCUUUGGCCAGCCCCGGCCUCCGGUCAUGGGUUAUGGAGGUGGUGGUCCUCCAUACCCGCCAAACCAGUAUGGAGGAGGCCGUGGGAAUUAUGACAACUUCCGUGGCCAGGGAGGUUACCC